rnacentral:rRNA from 1 species
UACGUAGGGGGCAAGCGUUGUCCGGAAUUAUUGGGCGUAAAGCGCGCGCAGGCGGCGGUGUAAGUCCGGUGUUUAAGCCCGGGGCUCAACCCCGGUACGCACCGGAAACUGCACGGCUUGAGUGCAGAAGAGGAGAGUGGAAUUCCACGUGUAGCGGUGAAAUGCGUAGAGAUGUGGAGGAACACCAGUGGCGAAGGCGACUCUCUGGGCUGCAACUGACGCUGAGGCGCGAAAGCGUGGGGAGCAAACA